rnacentral:rRNA from 1 species
AACGCGAAGAACCUUACCUACUCUUGACAUCCUGCGAAUCUGACUGAGAGGUUGGAGUGCCGAAAGGAACGCAGAGACAGGUGCUGCAUGGCUGUCGUCAGCUCGUGUUGUGAGAUGUUGGGUUAAGUCCCGUAACGAGCGCAACCCUUGUCCUUAGUUGCCAUCAAGUAAAGUUGGGGACUCUAAGGAGACUGCCGGUGAUGAACCGGAGGAAGGCGGGGACGACGUCAAGUCAUCAUGGCCUUUAUGAGUAGGGCUACACACGUGCUACAAUGGGGCAUACAAAGAGUAGCCAACCCGCGAGGGGGAGCCAAUCUAAUAAAGUGUCUCGUAGUCCGGAUUGGAGUCUGCAACUCGACUCCAUGAAGUUGGAAUCGCUAGUAAUCGCGAAUCAGCAACGUCGCGGUGAAUACGUUCCCGGGCCUUGUACACACCGGACACGC